rnacentral:rRNA from 1 species
UACGAAGGGGGCAAGCGUUGUUCGGAAUUACUGGGCGUAAAGGGCGCGUAGGCGGCUUACCAAGUCAGGCGUGAAAUUCCCGGGCUCAACCUGGGGGCUGCGCUUGAUACUGGUGAGCUUGAAUGCGGGAGAGGAUAGCGGAAUUCCCAGUGUAGAGGUGAAAUUCGUAGAUAUUGGGAAGAACACCGGUGGCGAAGGCGGCUAUCUGGACCGACAUUGACGCUGAGGCGCGAAAGCGUGGGGAGCAAACAGG